rnacentral:rRNA from 1 species
UACGGAGGGUGCUAACGUUAUCCGGAAUUAUUGGGCGUAAAGAGCAUGUAGGUGGUUUGGUAAGUGGACGAUUAAAGACCGACGCCUAACGUCGGGACUGUUGUCCAAACUUUCAGACUUGAAGGGGACAGGGGUAAGCGGAACUUUAGGUGUAGGAGUGAAAUCCGUAGAUAUCUAAAGGAACACCAAUGGCGAAGGCAGCUUACUGGGUCUUUCUUGACACUGAGAUGCGAAAGCGUGGGGAGCAAACGGG